UGUUUGUUUCAAACAGCUUUUCCCUGUUUCUCAGCACAGAUGUCUCCUGUAGAAUCAGCCUUUAGGAAAACCCAUCUCUUAACCAAUCACACGUUCAGAUACCUCCCACCAAGGUUUUCUGCAUCUACAGCAUGAAGCUCUUGCACUUGCAGACAAGAAGAACCCUUGUUCAUAGGAGGUGGUGGCAAACUCGGGAUCCUCUAACACAGAGUUAUGUUUUCCUUGAUGGGCUCCAGUGUGAAGGUUUCAGACGCGACGAGGAAUGAAUGAGUUGAAAGCAGAAGAUGUCAUGCAAUGGGUAAAUGACGAGGGGGGGAAAAUUUAAUGCUCAGAAUCACAGGAAAUGAAAACCACCUCCGUUCAUCUGCAAACAACAAAUAACUUGCACUCCAGCAAGCAGUUUGUCUUCUAUUCUAGUUCACACCUGCAGCAGGGGCAAGAAGGGAAAGAACCAAACCCCAUUAUCCUCAGAGUAAGAGAUCAGAGGAAAGCAGAAAUUAUGCAAUUUCCAUAUAGACGAAGCAGCGGAAGGCGAUUUUGGCCAUCUUACAACAGACUCCAGAGCUUUGAAAAAUGCUGCGAAAGCUGUCAGCUGGGCAACAGAAUGCAUAACCUAGUAAGUCAGCAAAGACUGUGCUCAAAGGGACGGAGAAAAGUGUCAAAGAAGAAAAGCCCAUUGCUGGACAGGCACUGCCAUGUGAUUCGGUGCCAAGAAUAAGAGAAGAAAGAUCCCAGUAGAGCAGAGCUGGUGCCUGGGCUUGGCAGGGCUGGAGGUCACAUCAUCAGCACAACCUGGCUGCAGACCUUUGACUCCACUCAGACAAUCAUAAUCUGCACAGGUUGUGCUCUGUUGUUGGCUCAAGCAUCUUUCUCUGGGCUUUGUUUUAGGUCUGUCUUGGUAUUUUGAGCAUGGAAGCUUCUCUAACUUUGAGCAGACCCUGAACAUAGGAAGCUGCCGCCUUUAAGUGUUGCUCAUUUGGGUCAGAACCAUCUCCUGCUGUAUGUACAUCAUGUUUCUGAUCACACUGUGCUGGUUUAUUAACAGCAGGAAGAGGAAUCAUGCUGAUUUUUAUAUAUUGUUUUGCACAAAUAUCUGUUUUAUUUAUGUAUGUGCCAAGGACGUAAGUACGUGUGGAGGAGCACAGAUACACCUUCCAGCUUUUAAUCUGUGCUGCCAUGAAUGUUAUGGGCUUUGGCUGGAUGAACUCUCUUCCUCAAACAGCCAAGUUACUCAGGUGAAUAAACUCAUCUGUGCAAGUAAGUGAUUGCCAUGUUGGGCCUUGUGUGCUCAGCAUGGGGACUGGCAUUAAAUGGUAUCUUCUUCACUCCCCCGGCCCUCCCAUAACAAAGGAAACUCACCCAAAAAAUGUGGAAGUGGAGAGGAAAUCUCAGGAUCUUACUCAGGAAUGAAGAGCAAAGUGCUUGCUGCCAACCCGGGUGUAAUGGCACCCUGGAAGGGAUGGGUUUGGAAGGGUCUCUUUAAAAAGAGAACCCUCUGUUCCAGUAGGAGCCUUUUGUUAAUGAGAAGGAGCAGAGCAGCCUCCACCACAGCCUCCAUCUGUUUCCUUGGGCAAACCAUUUAUUGAAACCCACCGUACUCCAACCUCUUCUUCUGCUCCCUCUCAUCUUGGCUCUUUGACACCUCGGGGCACAACAGCUAUUUUGCUAUUUCUAUGCAGAGUAACUUCUGCCAUAAUUACUGUCGUGUAGACAGCAGAGUAAGACAGAGCCCAGCUCCGUAGGCAUGCCUGGGUUUUCCCUUGGGGGUCAAGCCUUUGAAGCAGCCCCUCUCAAUCCACCUGAUCCAGGUAAGAGCUAUCUGACAUGGCUAAUAGCUCUUCCUUACAUCAUUGCCUCAGCAGUGAUCAAGCAAAAGAGAGGGGGGGAAAAAACACACAAAAAAACAAACCUAUAACAAAACGCCUUUGUCGUUUUGCUGCAAUGGUAGUACUAUUCUUAGCUAUUGUUCCAGAUCUGCCAAUAAUGUGAAGUUUAAAGGCGAAAGGGGUGGGCAGCGGGGGCAGAGGAAUCAAAGCAGUCCAUUAGGCUGAAUGGCUAUCCAGGCAGUUUGCUCCAGGCAAACAGUUAAUCCAGACCUGGGAGAGAGCACUGGUAGUUAAAGCCCUUUAAUGGCCUAAGUCCUAUGAUAAUUAGUCCUGCCCUGGAGGUAGUUAAGUGAGCCACUCCAGCCUGAAAUGGAGCUCAUCCACUGCUGAGGCCAUAAUCCUCUCUGCACAAUGAAAGCUGAACUAAUUCACUGAGUAAACACUUUCUCAGUUACUUACACGCUGUCUUCUUUCAGCCUGACACCAAAUAGAUUCACUUCCAAGAGCUGGAAAGAAAAUCAACUUUUUUCUUUAAAAAAAAAGCCAACUGAUCUUGCUUGCAAUGCUUUUGGAUUUAGUAUCCAGGGUAUAACCUGGACAGAUAUCAUCUCCUUUCUCCUGGCAUCACACAGCAGCUUCUUUAUUUUAGCCCGCUACAAUGGCAGAGAGGACAAAGACAUUUCCCCAUCUAUCACCUGCUCUUUUCUCCUGCCUUUUUCUCUGACAAGGCGCUGCUGGAAAGGAGCAGGAAGGCUUGUGGGAAGCUCAUGCUGAAAUUUGGGGCUCCUUAAGUUAUUGAGAUCUGUACUCUCAGCUCACCCUAAGGCUCAAGGUGAGAAACGUGGCACGGAGGAAGAGUAAAUGGAAGUGGGAAGGAAGGAAACAUGAAAUAUUUUCAACUGUUGUGAGUGACACCAGCUUUUUCCUUCUUUAUGUUUCAGUUAAGGAAUGGAAAUCAUGGGUUUGUAGAAUGUUCAGGUUUGGAAGGGACCCACAGGUCUCACUGAGUCCUUAUAUUCAACCUGAAAUGUACGUGGCUUGGCAUGUUCUUCUUGUUAUGUGCCCUCUGUAAGGAUGUGCCAUGGGUGUCUGGUUGUCUUUGGAUACAUUUCAUGCUCAUCUCUCCAACUCCUCCCAGUGCUAUUGUGCUUUUGGACCCUCCUGGAACACCCUGCUUUCUGUUUCCUACCAAAGAUCUACUAAAGGCUGUUGUUGAUUCUGUAUACAGAAACACACGCUGUCCCACAGGGUAGUCUGUCCAUUGGGCCUUCUAACCUGCAAGGGCACAGUGAGCACUAGCUGCCUUCUAGCCCCAGGCCCCAGUGUCAUUUGACUACUCCAGACUCAGUGCUUUCUGAUGGAAGAGUCUGAAAACCCAGAUUUAAGUCUACUGAUUUAAUACCUAGGAGGAAAGUGAAAUAUAUUUCAAAGGUGGGGUUAUCUCAUUGCCUUCAGAAGUGAAUAGGGUACUUGCUCAUGCUUGAACUCUUUGCUUAGGCUCAUGUUAGAGUCUACAGAGACAAAUGGACAUUUCUGAGUCACAGU